rnacentral:rRNA from 1 species
UACGUAGGGUGCAAGCGUUUAAUCGGAAUUACUGGGCGUAAAGCGUGCGCAGGCGGUUAUGUAAGACAGUUGUGAAAUCCCCGGGCUCAACCUGGGAACUGCAUCUGUGACUGCAUAGCUAGAGUACGGUAGAGGGGGGAUGGAAUUCCGCGUGUAGCAGUGAAAAUGCGUAGAGAUGCGGAGGAACACCGAUGGCGAAGGCAGCCCCCCUGGGCUGACACUGACGCUCAGGCACGAAAAGCGUGGGGGAGCAAAACAGG